GCCCUGGUAGCUCAGUUGGCUAGAGCGUUCGGCUUUUAUCCGGAAAAAUUCGUUACCGAAAUGUCGUGGGUUCGAGCCCCACUCAGGGCG